rnacentral:rRNA from 1 species
GGCAGAGGUCCCGAGCGUUAGGCGGAAUCACUGGGCUUAAAGCGUGUGUAGGCGGAUGCCUAAGUACCUUGUGAAAUCCCACGGCUCAACCGUGGAACUGCUUGGUAUACUGGGUGUCUUGAGCCACUUAGGGGCGACCGGAACAGACGGUGGAGCGGUGAAAUGCGUAGAUAUCGUCUGGAACGCCAAUGGUGAAAACAGGUCGCUGGGAGUGUGCUGACGCUGAGACACGAAAGCCAGGGGAGCAAACAGG